GCAGCCAUCAUUUAAAGAAAGCGUAAUAGCUCACUGGUCGAGUCGGCCCGCGCGGAAGAUGUAACGGGGCUAAACCAUGCACCGAAGCUGCGGCAGCGAACGUAUCACUUAAAUUUGUUUGAGUGAAUAACGAUUGACGGAACGAAGUGACGUCAAUGCGUUAAUGAAAGUCGAGGCGAAAGCACGACAAAGCGAAUUUAAGGAUACGUUCGUUGGGUAGGGGAGCGUUCUGUAAGCCUGCGAAGGUGUACUGUGAGGUAUGCUGGAGGUAUCAGAAGUGCGAAUGCUGACAUAAGUAACGAUAAUGCGGGUGAAAAACCCGCACGCCGGAAGACCAAGGGUUCCUGUCCAACGUUAAUCGGGGCAGGGUGAGUCGACCCCUAAGGCGAGGCUGAAAAGCGUAGUCGAUGGGAAACGGGUUAAUAUUCCCGUACUGGUGGUAACUGCGAUGGGGGAACGGAGAAGGCUAGGUUGUCCGGGCGACGGUCGUCCCGGUUCAAGCAGGUAGGCAGAGUGAUUAGGCAAAUCCGGUCACUUAAUGCUGAGAUGUGAUGACGAACCACCAAGGUGGUGAAGCAAUUGAUGCCCCGCUUCCAGGAAAAGCCUCUAAGCUUCAGGUUACCAACAAUCGUACCCCAAACCGACACAGGUGGUCAGGUAGAGAAUACUCAGGCGCUUGAGAGAACUCGGGUGAAGGAACUAGGCAAAAUGGUGCCGUAACUUCGGGAGAAGGCACGCUGGCGGUAGGUAAAGUCCCUCGCGGACGGCGCUGAAGCCAGUCGAAGAUACCAGCUGGCUGCAACUGUUUAUUAAAAACACAGCACUGUGCAAACACGAAAGUGGACGUAUACGGUGUGACGCCUGCCCGGUGCUGGAAGGUUAAUUGAUGGGGUCAGCCGUAAGGCGAAGCUCCUGAUCGAAGCCCCAGUAAACGGCGGCCGUAACUAUAACGGUCCUAAGGUAGCGAAAUUCCUUGUCGGGUAAGUUCCGACCUGCACGAAUGGCGUAAUGAUGGCCAGGCUGUCUCCACCCGAGACUCAGUGAAAUUGAACUCGCUGUGAAGAUGCAGUGUACCCGCGGCAAGACGGAAAGACCCCGUGAACCUUUACUAUAGCUUGACACUGAACAUUGAGCCUUGAUGUGUAGGAUAGGUGGGAGGCUUUGAAGUGUGGACGCCAGUCUGCAUGGAGCCAACCUUGAAAUACCACCCUUUAACGUUUGAUGUUCUAACCUAGGCCCAUAAACUGGGUCGGGGACCGUGUCUGGUGGGUAGUUUGACUGGGGCGGUCUCCUCCUAAAGAGUAACGGAGGAGCACGAAGGUUGGCUAAGCAUGGUCGGACAUCAUGCGGUUAGUGCAAAGGCAUAAGCCAGCUUGACUGCGAGAGUGACGGCUCGAGCAGGUACGAAAGUAGGUCUUAGUGAUCCGGUGGUUCUGAAUGGAAGGGCCAUCGCUCAACGGAUAAAAGGUACUCCGGGGAUAACAGGCUGAUACCGCCCAAGAGUUCAUAUCGACGGCGGUGUUUGGCACCUCGAUGUCGGCUCAUCACAUCCUGGGGCUGAAGUAGGUCCCAAGGGUAUGGCUGUUCGCCAUUUAAAGUGGUACGCGAGCUGGGUUUAGAACGUCGUGAGACAGUUCGGUCCCUAUCUGCCGUGGGCGUUGGAAGAUUGAGAGGGGUUGCUCCUAGUACGAGAGGACCGGAGUGAACGCACCACUGGUGUUCGGGUUGUCAUGCCAAUGGCAUUGCCCGGUAGCUAAGUGCGGAAGAGAUAACCGCUGAAAGCAUCUAAGCGGGAAACUUGCCUCGAGAUGAGUCUUCCCUGUCACUUUAAGUGACCUAAAGGAACGUUUAAGACUAAGACGUUGAUAGGCUGGGUGUGUAAGCGUAGCGAUACGUUGAGCUAACCAGUACUAAUGAACCGUGAGGCUUAACCUGACAACACCGAAGGUGUUU
rnacentral:rRNA from 1 species